UGAAUACUAACUUAUUUGAUUUUUCAGAUUCAACACACCAAUUUAAACACCCCAGUUGUCGAACAAGCUUUUGUUAGUUUUUAAGUAAUAUUUUCGCUUAUAAUCUUUCAUAUUAACAAGUUCGUUAUAUUAUUAUUUGGUGUUUUAUUGUAGGAUGAUGGUGAUAAUAGUGUUGAAAUUAUUUCUUAUGGUGCAAUGUUCAGUCCAUACAAGUCUAAGCUUCAACGUCAAUUUAGUGAAGAGGAUCGGAAGUAUGAGAAUCAAAAGAAAAGAUCUAAGAGACUCUCUGAAUGGAAAUGGGUCGAGGUUAUAAAUUUAGAUGAUUCUGAGGACGAUGAGAAAGAAGAUGAUUAGAUGAUACUGCUGAUUCGAGCACAAACAAGAAAAACGGAUCAAAAAAGUAGAGAUUUUAGAUGAAAUAUAUCAAGUGCUUUUAUGUUUUUUUCAUUUACAGUUGUUUUUGUUUGAUAUAGACUAUCCCAUGAAUAAUAAAGUUUAUUUUAUAUUUGAAGUUUA